rnacentral:rRNA from 1 species
GACGAACGCUGGCGGCGUGCUUAACACAUGCAAGUCGAACGGUAAGGCCCUUCGGGGUACACGAGUGGCGAACGGGUGAGUAACACGUGGGUGAGCUGCCCUGCACUUCGGGAUAAGCAUGGGAAACUGGGUCUAAUACCGGAUAGGACCACUGCCUGCAUGGGUGGGGGUGGAAAGCUUUUGCGGUGUGGGAUGGGCCCGCGGCCUAUCAGCUUGUUGGUGGGGUGAUGGCCUACCAAGGCGACGACGGGUAGCCGGCCUGAGAGGGUGACCGGCCACACUGGGACUGAGAUACGGCCCAGACUCCUACGGGAGGCAGCAGUGGGGAAUAUUGCACAAUGGGCGCAAGCCUGAUGCAGCGACGCCGCGUGAGGGAUGACGGCCUUCGGGUUGUAAACCUCUUUCAGCACCGACGAAGCGCAAGUGACGGUAGGUGCAGAAGAAGGACCGGCCAACUACGUGCCAGCCGCCGCCGUAA